AGUGAACGCUGACGGUAGGCCUAACACAUGCAAGUCGAACGGCAGCACAGUAAGAGCUUGCUCUUACGGGUGGCGAGUGGCGGACGGGUGAGGAAUACAUCGGAAUCUACUUUUUCGUGGGGGAUAACGUAGGGAAACUUACGCUAUACCGCAUACGACCUACGGGUGAAAGCAGGGGAUCUUCGGACCUUGCGCGAUUGAAUGAGCCGAUGUCGGAUUAGCUAGUUGGCGGGGUAAAGGCCCACCAAGGCGACGAUCCGUAGCUGGUCUGAGAGGAUGAUCAGCCACACUGGAACUGAGACACGGUCCAGACUCCUACGGGAGGCAGCAGUGGGGAAUAUUGGACAAUGGGCGCAAGCCUGAUCCAGCCAUACCGCGUGGGUGAAGAAGGCCUUCGGGUUGUAAAGCCCUUUUGUUGGGAAAGAAAAGCAGCAGGUUAAUACCCCGCUGUUCUGACGGUACCCAAAGAAUAAGCACCGGCUAACUUCGUG
rnacentral:rRNA from 1 species